UACGUAGGGUGCAAGCGUUAAUCGGAAUUACUGGGCGUAAAGCGUGCGCAGGCGGUUUUGUAAGUCUGUCGUGAAAUCCCCGGGCUCAACCUGGGAAUGGCGAUGGAGACUGCAAGGCUAGAGUUUGGCAGAGGGGGGUAAAAUUCCACGUGUAGCAGUGAAAUGCGUAGAUAUGUGGAGGAACACCGAUGGCGAAGGCAGCCCCCUGGGUCAAAACUGAGCUCAUGCACGAAAGCGUGGGGAGCAAACAGG
rnacentral:rRNA from 1 species